UAGUCCACGCCCUAAACGAUGGAUACUAGUCGUCGGGUUUCCUAAUAGACUCGGUGACGUAGCUAACGCAUUAAGUAUCCCGCCUGGGGAGUACGGUCGCAAGAUUAAAACUCAAAGGAAUUGAACGGGGGCCCGCACAAGCGGUGGAGCAUGUGGUUUAAUUCGAUGCUACGCGAAAAACCUUACCUGGGCUUGACAUCCCGCGCUACCCUGGGAAACCAGGGGUUCUCUUCGGAGACGCGGUGACAGGUGCUGCAUGGCUGUCGUCAGCUCGUGUUGUGAGAUGUUGGGUUAAGUCCCGCAACGAGCGCAACCCCUAUCUUUAGUUGCUAACAAGUAAUGUUGAGGACUCUAGAGAGACUGCCGGCGUAAGCCGCGAGGAAGGUGGGGAUGACGUCGAAAUCAUCAUGGCCUUUAUGCCCAGGGCUACACACGUGCUACAAUGGCCGGUACAGAGGGUCGCGAAGCCGCGAGGUGGAGCCGAAUCUCAUAAAACCGGUCCCAGUUCGGAUUCGAAGUCUGC
rnacentral:rRNA from 1 species